UACGUAGGGUGCAAGCGUUGUCCGGAAUUAUUGGGCGUAAAGAGCUCGUAGGCGGUUUGUUGCGUCGGCUGUGAAAUCCCGAGGCUCAACCUCGGGUCUGCAGUCGAUACGAGCAAACUAGAGUGUUGCAGGGGAGACUGGAAUUCCUGGUGUAGCGGUGAAAUGCGCAGAUAUCAGGAGGAACACCGGUGGCGAAGGCGCUCUGCUGGACCAUAACUGACACUCAGGGACGAAAGCUAGGGGAGCGAAUGGG
rnacentral:rRNA from 1 species